AUUGAACGCUGGCGGCAGGCCUAACACAUGCAAGUCGAGCGGAUGAAGGGAGCUUGCUCCUGGAUUCAGCGGCGGACGGGUGAGUAAUGCCUAGGAAUCUGCCUGGUAGUGGGGGAUAACGCCCGGAAACGGGCGCUAAUACCGCAUACGUCCUGAGGGAGAAAGUGGGGGAUCUUCGGACCUCACGCUAUCAGAUGAGCCUAGGUCGGAUUAGCUAGUUGGUGGGGUAAAGGCCUACCAAGGCGACGAUCCGUAACUGGUCUGAGAGGAUGAUCAGUCACACUGGAACUGAGACACGGUCCAGACUCCUACGGGAGGCAGCAGUGGGGAAUAUUGGACAAUGGGCGAAAGCCUGAUCCAGCCAUGCCGCGUGUGUGAAGAAGGUCUUCAGAUUGUAAAGCACUUUAAGUUGGGAGGAAGGGCAGUAAGUUAAUACCUUGCUGUUUUGACGUUACCAACAGAAUAAGCACCGGCUAACUUCGUG
rnacentral:rRNA from 1 species